rnacentral:lncRNA from 1 species
CUUUGUUGCUGUUUUGAUACAUUUUACGUAGAUUUACAUUCAUGGAAUGUAAGAAAAGUUUGCGUAGAAAUUCUUGAAAGGUCAUUGCUUCUACAUUUCUCCAUGUGUGUGGGUUUUUAAAUUAAUUACUAAAAUAAAAAUGUAUGAAUAUGUUUUAACAGUUCUCUCACUUCAUGGUAACUAGUAAGUGAACAUGUGUUAAUUCGUGUAACCCAUUAUCCUUAGCAUCUUUUUGUUUGUGCUUCCUACUUUUAGAAGAAUUGGUAUUAAUUAUAACAGUAGAAGUAAUUUAAAAUGUCAGUUCAAAAUUUUACAGCUUGGAACAGCUCAUCCUUCAAUAAUUAAGUCAAUAAAACUAACUUAAUUUAAUUGAAACAGCGAUGCUGUUUUUUAGGCCUUGUGGAGUCAUUACAAUUAGUAAUUCAUAAUUAGCAUUUUAUUGAUGUCCAUGCACUGUGUUGCUGAGCAUCAUCAAGAAACUAUGAUGAUUGGUGGUAAUUUGAUAAACAUUCGGAACCACUGCAUUAAUUAUGUGCCUUCCAAUUACAUCUGAUGUUAAUGAAUGUGAAUAUGUGAAUAUUGUGGAGAUGAAUUUAAAGGACAGCUCAACCUUAAUUAUAAGACAGUUUUUUUCUAGUAUGUUAAUUAUAACUUUCCUAGUUAUCAGCUUUUAGACAAAAUGAGGCUUAUCUAAAAUAUUAAAUUUGCAUAUUGUUCAUACAUGACAAUCUGUUUUCUAAAAUGGUGGUGAUUGAUUCAAAACACCAGUCAAUGUAAUUUAUGCACAAUAUGAUGAAUAAAAUAGCUGUAAAGCAUCUUCCAGCUUGAACUAAGAGCAGAAAAACAUUCAUAAAUACGGUGUCUAGAAAGCCUUAAAGUAAAUAGCUUCAUCAGGUUGCCUUUAUAGAAGCGUAGCCAAGUUUAACUUUCUUUAGCUUAUAAAGUUAAAAGAAUUACAAUAAGAAAAAUACAUAUUUUCAUAGAUAAAGAGUCCCUGUCCGUCAAGGUCAUAAAUAUCUUUUUCUUUCUUGAUGACACUGGAGGAGGUGGGCAGGGUCACCCUUCGUUAGUGCCAUUUAAAACUCAAUUGGAAGUGUAUUUGGAAUAGCCAUUUUAAUAACUAACUAGCUGAAAUUUAAAUAUAUACAUAUUGUCAAUUUGAAUGAGAAUGGAAAUCUGUGGUAAUGUCUAUAGAAUUCAGAUAUUGUAACUCUUCAGCGUCCUUUCUGCAAGGUUCUGAAAACAUGAACAUUAGUUAAGCCCCUGUGUUCACUGGUCCACUGUCUAACAUGCAACUGACGCCCCUGCUCUUGAGUGCAUCCUGCUGUUUCACUAUUCUGUUCAAAUCUCUGAGAUUGAAGGGCCACUAACCAGGCAAAUUAACGUAACAGUCUUAGUCUUGAAAACAUGAG